UACGUAGGUUGCGAGCGUUGUCCGGAUUUACUGGGUGUAAAGGGCGUGUAGGCGGAGAUGCAAGUCAGGAGUGAAAUCCAUGGGCUCAACCCAUGAACUGCUCUUGAAACUGUAUCCCUUGAGUAUCGGAGAGGCAAGCGGAAUUCCUAGUGUAGCGGUGAAAUGCGUAGAUAUUAGGAGGAACACCAGUGGCGAAGGCGGCUUGCUGGACGACAACUGACGCUGAGGCGCGAAAGCGUGGGGAGCAAACAGG
rnacentral:misc_RNA from 1 species